rnacentral:rRNA from 1 species
CCUACGGGUGGCUGCAGUGAGGAAUAUUGGUCAAUGGGCGCAAGCCUGAACCAGCCAAGUAGCGUGAAGGAUGACUGCCCUACGGGUUGUAAACUGCUUUUAUGCAGGGAUAAAGUGAGUCACAUGUGCCUUUUUGUAUGUACUUUAUGAAUAAGGAUCGGCUAACUCCGUGCCAGCAGCCGCGGUAAUACGGAGGAUCCGGGUGUUAUCCGGAUUUAUUGGGUUUAAAGGGAGCGUAGAUGGGAUGUUAAGUCAGUUGUGAAAGUUUGCGGCUCAACCGUAAAAUUGCAAUGGAUACUGGCAGCCUUGAGUACAGUUGAGGUAGGCGGAAUUCGUGGUGUAGCGGUGAAAUGCUUAGAUAUCACGAAGAACUCCGAUUGCGAAGGCAGCCUACUAAACUGCCACUGACAUUGAUGCUCGAAAGUGUGGGUAUCAAACAGGAUUAGAUACCCCUGUAGUC